rnacentral:rRNA from 1 species
GACGAACGCUGGCGGCGUGCUUAACACAUGCAAGUCGAACGGAAAGGCCCUGCUUUUGUGGGGUGCUCGAGUGGCGAACGGGUGAGUAACACGUGAGUAACCUGCCCUUGACUUUGGGAUAACUUCAGGAAACUGGGGCUAAUACCGGAUAGGAGCUCCUGCUGCAUGGUGGGGGUUGGAAAGUUUCGGCGGUUGGGGAUGGACUCGCGGCUUAUCAGCUUGUUGGUAGGGUAGUGGCUUACCAAGGCUUUGACGGGUAGCCGGCCUGAGAGGGUGACCGGCCACAUUGGGACUGAGAUACGGCCCAGACUCCUACGGGAGGCAGCAGUGGGGAAUAUUGCACAAUGGGCGGAAGCCUGAUGCAGCAACGCCGCGUGCGGGAUGACGGCCUUCGGGUUGUAAACCGCUUUCGCCUGUGACGAAGCGUGAGAGACGGUAAUGGGUAAAGAAGCACCGGCUAACUACGUG